UACGUAGGGAGCAAGCGUUGUCCGGAAUCAUUGGGCGUAAAGGGCGCGUAGGCGGCCGCUCAAGUCGGAUGUGAAAUCCCUCGGCUUAACCGAGGAACUGCAUUCGAUACUGGGUGGCUAGAGUCCGGGAAGGGGUAGUGGAAUUCCCAGUGUAGCGGUGAAAUGCGUAGAUAUUGGGAAGAACACCGGUGGCGAAGGCGGCUACCUGGACCGGUACUGACGCUGAGGCGCGAAAGCCAGGGGAGCGAAUGGG
rnacentral:rRNA from 1 species